CCUGCUCCAGCGGGCUCCCUGCCGCCCCGAGGGGGGGCGCGGCGCUGCAUCGGGACCGGAGGAGCUGCGUGUGCGUGUGCGUGUGCGUGUGCGUGUGUCGCUGUGUGUGUGUGUGUGCGCGAGAGGGAGAGAGAGUAUGAAUGAGAAUGAAUUAGAGUUUUUUUUUUAACUGAUUGCACCCAACCCGAUGGGCUGAGCUCUAUCCCCAUCCCCAUGUCUUUUCUCAUUUAUUAUUGUACGACCACGUCUCACUAAAUCCCUAAGUUGCCCAGGCUGAGCUCAAACUUGUGAUUCUCCUGCCUCAGCCUCCAGAGUGCUGGAAUUACAGGGGUGCACCACAGAUACCAGGCUGCAGCUAGAGACAGAGAGACAGCGAGGCUGACAAGUAGAUGGUACCCCUUAUGCAGAUAAAGCCAUCACCAGACACUGAAUACGUUGACACCUUCAUCUUGGACUUUCCAGCUCCCACAAUGUAGCACAGACUAAGAAAGACAUGGUAUGAAGACGGAGAUGGAGAUCAGGAUGAAGCUUCUUGGAGCCGAGGAUUGCUGAAGACAUCAGAAAACCACCGGAAGCUGAGGAAGAAGCAUAGAUCAGCUCAGAAGCAGCCUUGAUCUUGACCUCUGGUGCCCGAAGCGUGCACAGCACAUUUCUGUUCUGUGUAGCACCUGGUUUGCAGCCCUUUGUUAUUGCAUCCCUAGAAGCUAACACUUCAUCUGAACGCUGACCACUACGAAAUCUCUGACUCCAAUCUGUGAGCCCCAGAGCACUUCAGGAAUUGAGCGUCCUGCUGAUUUGUGCCUUGGCCUUUGCUUAUAGACUCGUUGUAUAGUCAGUGCUGUUGAAAGAAAAGCUGAAGGUUAUUCACAGCUACCCUGGAGAUCAGAGGCAAGGCAUGCCCUGCUUCUGGGAGAGCACCAGGGACCCCCCAGAGGCAUAUAGGAGCCAAAAGAGGGCUCAAUGAUACAAGGAAAAGGUUAGAAUUAGUUUGAAUGGUUCUGGAGGAUUUGGGGAGCCAUGGGAUGUCCCCUAACCCUAUAGUACCUGUCCUCAGAGUGUCUUGGAUCAGGAGUAAUACUGGUUUGAUGUGUGAGAGUUCAAUAAAGUGGGUCAGAAGGAAUCUGUAUGGCAAGGGAGACCGUGCUCACUGCUGGGCCUUGUGAUGGAUAGAAUUCAAACAGACUGAAGAGGAAAAAUUAAAAUUUUAAAUAAAAGCCUGCCCAGGAUGCUCACCAAGACCAAGCGGAUGUGUCCAGCAAGCUGAAUAACAGAACACUCCUUCCUUUAUAUAAACUCCUGUCUUUGCUGACCUUGUGUAACCGAUGGCCUUACGAUGUCACUUAAAAUGUAACAGGACGUUUCUUCCUCUGUAACCCAUGCGUUGUAAAGCUGAUAGCCUUGUGAUGUAACCUGUAACGUUUACACUGCCCUCACAACACAUGAUGUCACCCAACCCUCCAAUCAUAUGGGCUGAACCUGCCCUUGUAUCUCCCCCUUUACCUUCCCUUUAAAAGCCCUGAAACUCCCCACUGAGCAGGCCUCUGAUUCUUUGUCAUAGUCAUCAGAAGCCCACUCUGUAAUAAACUGCCUUCUUAACCUCCUUGGUGCUGUUUCUUCCUGUGUUUGGGUGUUUUCCAUAAUACUACAGUGCUAACAACAAGUCAUUCUUGGAAAAGGAUGAGAGUAUGGGUCAGGGUGCUCUGAUCAAGGGUCUGACUCACAAGCUGGGCUCACUCAACCAGGUGGUGCUACUUACAAGAUAGUCUCAACCUGCUGUUGAUCUUGAGGGUGCACAGGUCUGUCUUCAGCC